AACACAUGCAAGUCGAACGAAGCAGAUGAGAAAGCUUGCUUUUUUAUUUCGCUUAGUGGCGGACGGGUGAGUAACGCGUGAGUAACCUGCCCUUCAGUGGGGAAUAACAUCGAGAAAUCGGUGCUAAUACCGCAUAACGUAUUUAUGUCGCAUGACAUUUAUACCAAAGGAUUUAUUCGCUGAAGGAUGGACUCGCGUCCGAUUAGAUAGUUGGUGAGAUAAUGGCCCACCAAGUCAACGAUCGGUAGCCGAACUGAGAGGUGGAUCGGCCACAUUGGGACUGAGACACGGCCCAGACUCCUACGGGAGGCAGCAGUGGGGAAUAUUGGACAAUGGGCGCAAGCCUGAUCCAGCCAUGCCGCGUGAGUGAUGAAGGCCUUAGGGUUGUAAAGCUCUUUCGCACGCGACGAUAAUGACGGUAGCGUGAGAAGAAGCCCCGGCUAACUUCGUGCCAGCAGCCGCGGUAAUAC
rnacentral:rRNA from 1 species